rnacentral:rRNA from 1 species
GAGUUUGAUCCUGGCUCAGAACGAACGCUGGCGGCGUGCCUAACACAUGCAAGUCGAACGUGAUCCAGAGCUUGCUCUGGUGAAAGUGGCGCACGGGUGAGUAACGCGUGGAUAACCUACCCUGGUAUCCGGGAUAACAUUCCGAAAGGGGUGCUAAUACCGGAUAAGCCCACGGGCUCUUUGGAGCUUGCGGGAAAAGGUGGCCUCUAUUUAUAAGCUACUGUAUCAGGAUGGGUCCGCGUACCAUUAGCUAGUUGGCGGUGUAACGGACCACCAAGGCGACGAUGGUUAGCUGGUCUGAGAGGAUGAUCAGCCACACUGGAACUGAGACACGGUCCAGACUCCUACGGGAGGCAGCAGUGGGGAAUUUUGCGCAAUGGGGGAAACCCUGACGCAGCAACGCCGCGUGAGUGAUGAAGGCCUUUGGGUCGUAAAGCUCUGUCAGAGGGGAAGAAAUGAUAUAGUGCUAAUACCACUUUAUCUUGACGGUACCCUCAAAGGAAGCACCGGCUAACCCCGUGCCAGCAGCCGCGGUAAUAC